GAUGAACGCUGACAGAAUGCUUAACACAUGCAAGUCAACUUGAAUUUGGGUUUUUAACUUAGGUUUGGGUGGCGGACGGGUGAGUAACGCGUAAAGAACUUGCCUCACAGCUAGGGACAACAUUUGGAAACGAAUGCUAAUACCUAAUAUUAUGAUAAUAGGGCAUCCUAUAAUUAUGAAAGCUAUAAGCGCUGUGAGAGAGCUUUGCGUCCCAUUAGCUAGUUGGAGAGGUACGGCUCACCAAGGCGAUGAUGGGUAGCCGGCCUGAGAGGGUGAUCGGCCACAAGGGGACUGAGACACGGCCCUUACUCCUACGGGAGGCAACAGUGGGGAAUAUUGGACAAUGGACCGAGAGUCUGAUCCAGCAAUUCUGUGUGCACGAUGAAGUUUUUCGGAAUGUAAAGUGCUUUCAGUUGGGAAGAAACAAAUGACGGUACCAACAGAAGAAGUGACGGCUAAAUACGUG
rnacentral:rRNA from 1 species